rnacentral:rRNA from 1 species
AGUGGGAGCCCCACCACUAAGCCAGUGGUGAACUCCACAUACGCAUCCUUUGCUGAGGAUACGGUUAACGGAGCGAAAGCGACGUUCAACCGCAAAAGAAGCAGAGGGGGCUUAGUGGUGGGGUGACUGCGUACCUUUUGUAUAAUGGGUCAGCGACUUAUAUUCUGUAGCAAGGUUAACCGAAUAGGGGAGCCGGAGGGAAACCGAGUCUUAACCGGGCGUUAAGUUGCAGGGUAUAGACCCGAAACCCGGUGAUCUAGCCAUGGGCAGGUUGAAGGUUGGGUAACACUAACUGGAGGACCGAACCGACUAAUGUUGAAAAAUUAGCGGAUGACCUGUGGCUGGGGGUGAAAGGCCAAUCAAACCGGGAGAUAGCUGGUUCUCCCCGAAAGCUAUUUAGGUAGCGCCUCGUGAAUUCAUCUCCGGGGGUAGAGCACUGUUUCGGCUAGGGGGCCAUCCCGGCUUACCAACCCGAUGCAAACUGCGAAUACCGGAGAAUGUUAUCACGGGAGACACACGGCGGGUGCUAACGUCCGUCGUGAAGAGGGAAACAACCCAGACCGCCAGCUAAGGUCCCAAAGUCAUGGUUAAGUGGGAAACGAUGUGGGAAGGCCCAGACAGCCAGGAUGUUGGCUUAGAAGCAGCCAUCAUUUAAAGAAAGCGUAAUAGCUCACUGGUCGAGUCGGCCUGCGCGGAAGAUGUAACGGGGCUAAACCAU